rnacentral:rRNA from 1 species
UGAACGCUGGCGGCGUGCCUAAUACAUGCAAGUCGAGCGAACAGACGAGGAGCUUGCUCCUCUGACGUUAGCGGCGGACGGGUGAGUAACACGUGGAUAACCUACCUAUAAGACUGGGAUAACUUCGGGAAACCGGAGCUAAUACCGGAUAAUAUAUUGAACCGCAUGGUUCAAUAGUGAAAGACGGUUUUGCUGUCACUUAUAGAUGGAUCCGCGCCGCAUUAGCUAGUUGGUAAGGUAACGGCUUACCAAGGCAACGAUGCGUAGCCGACCUGAGAGGGUGAUCGGCCACACUGGAACUGAGACACGGUCCAGACUCCUACGGGAGGCAGCAGUAGGGAAUCUUCCGCAAUGGGCGAAAGCCUGACGGAGCAACGCCGCGUGAGUGAUGAAGGUCUUCGGAUCGUAAAACUCUGUUAUUAGGGAAGAACAAAUGUGUAAGUAACUAUGCACGCCUUGACGGUACCUAAUCAGAAAGCCACGGCUAACUACGUG